GCGCCGUUCUCCGGAUACAGCGUACACUGAACGAGCAAUCGAUAGAAGCCAUAUACCAGUCAUCGCUCAACCUGAAAACCAUACUAACUACUUUAAUCGAAAGGGGUGGCAUUCUGUUAUCUUGCAAGCAGUUGUGGACCACAGAUUUUGUUUCACAAACAUCAACAUAGGAUGGCCCGGAAGUGUCUACAACUCCAGGGUUCUUCAGAAACAGCACAGAGGAGAUCACAGGCACACAAGUGUCCAUCAUGCUGCUGGGGGAUCCAGCUUACCCACUUCGGUCAUGGCUGAUGAAGGGUUACCCUGACACUGGGAAUCUGACCGAAGACCAGCAUUACUUCAACCAGAGAUUAAGCGGGGCUAGAAUGUCAGUGGAGCGUGCAUUUGGUCGAUUAAAGGGUCGAUGGAGUUGCCUGGCAAAACGUCUCGAUGUAGACAUAUCAUUGGUCCCUACAAUCAUCUCUGCAUGCUGCACUCUGCAUAAUAUAUGUGAAAAACACAAGGAGCCAUACAGUGAGGAUCCCAAUGCAGCUGGACCUCCUGACAUACCAGCAGAGGCCGUUGACCCGUUGGGUGUUGUAGACACC